GACGAACGCUGGCGGCGUGCUUAACACAUGCAAGUCGAACGGUGAAGGGACCGGUUUUUGCUGGUUCUGGAUGAGUGGCGAACGGGUGAGUAACACGUGAGUAACCUGCCCCCUUCUUCUGGAUAACCGCAUGAAAGUGUGGCUAAUACGGGAUAUUCUGCGCCUGCUGCAUGGUGGGUGUGGGAAAGAUAUUGUUUCGGUGGGGGAUGGGCUCGCGGCCUAUCAGCUUGUUGGUGGGGUGAUGGCCUACCAAGGCGGUGACGGGUAGCCGGCCUGAGAGGGUGGACGGUCACACUAGGGCUGAGACACGGACAAGACUCCUACGGGAGGCAGCAGUGGGGAAUAUUGCACAAUGGGCGCAAGCCUGAUGCAGCGACGCCGCGGGAGGGAUGGAGGCCUUCGGGUUGUAAACCUCUUUCGCCAGUGAAGCAGGCCUGUCCCUUUUGUGGGUGGGUUGACGGUAGCUGGAUAAGAAGCGCCGGCUAACUACGUG
rnacentral:rRNA from 1 species